rnacentral:lncRNA from 1 species
GGACAUUUAUCCUGCAUUUAUUUUGUGUUUCACAAGGUUAAAAUUUUGUAUUUUGUAAAGUGUCUGAAAAGGAGUCCACAAAGUAUUUCUGCUUUCUUGCUCCUGAAUGCAAAGGUCUGAGAGAAGGCACAUCCUCAUUAGCUUCUGGGUGUUGUCAAACCCAAUCCUCUCUCAAGUACCAAAUGCCCAGAUACAUUUAUUGGGAUGCAGGAAUCUCACUUAAGUAGCGGUUUUUGCUGAUAUAAAGACAAACAUCUUGAUUAAAGUGUAGGGAGAUAGAAACUAUACCAAUUUGGGCAAUUUUGGCUCUAAUGUCUAAUUUGUUGUGAAAGGGGAAGAUGUUCUAAGCUAAUGUUCUUAAAAGUAACUUAUGAAUUUCUUAAAAAUAGUUUUUAAAAAGCUGUUUCAGGAAAAGCUGUUUUAUUGCAUGGCACAGAUUAAAUGUACAGAUGUUAUCUUAAAACAAUGAAAGAGUUCCCCUAAUUUGAAUAUUCAAUACCAGCUGUUAUUCACAUCAAUAUUUUAACAUUUUACCAUCAAGAUAUUUAAUACAAAGGAUUGAUACAUAUUUAACUGUUUAGAAUUCUAGUUAAACUUGUCCAGAUGAGUAAGAGGGAAGGAGAAAUAACAUUCUCCAAGUACCUACCAUGUGCACAAGCUCUACUUAUAUAUCUUGCUUAAUCUUAGCAAUGAUUCCAUGAGGUAGAUUUUAACUCUCAUUUUACAAACGAGGAGACUAAGGCUCAGAGAGGUAUAAGUUGGCAAGACUCUGUUCCACGAUGGGAAAAAAUGGGUAGGAUUUGAAUGAGUAAGAGUGGGAUACUUGCACAGUAUCAUAUUUGUGUGGCUGGAGUAAUGUUUUUCUGUUUCCCUCUUAGCAAAGUGGAGUGGGAGAAUCUUGAAAUUGAACUCAGUCCUGAGGUCUGAUUUUCCUAUUAUUAGUCAC